rnacentral:rRNA from 1 species
AAACUGAAGAGUUUGAUCAUGGCUCAGAUUGAACGCUGGCGGCAGGCCUAAUACAUGCAAGUCGAGCGGAAACGAUGGGAGCUUGCUCCCAGGCGUCGAGCGGCGGACGGGUGAGUAACGCGUAGGAAUCUGCCCAGUAGUGGGGGAUAGCCCGGGGAAACUCGGAUUAAUACCGCAUACGCCCUACGGGGGAAAGCAGGGGAUCUUCGGACCUUGCGCUAUUUGAUGAGCCUGCGUGAGAUUAGCUUGUUGGUGAGGUAAAGGCUCACCAAGGCGACGAUCUCUAGCUGGUCUGAGAGGAUGAUCAGCCACACUGGGACUGAGACACGGCCCAGACUCCUACGGGAGGCAGCAGUAGGGAAUAUUGGACAAUGGGGGCAACCCUGAUCCAGCCAUGCCGCGUGUGUGAAGAAGGCCCUCGGGUUGUAAAGCACUUUCAGUAGGGAGGAAGGCUCGGCUGUUAAUACCAGCCGGGAUUGACGUUACCUACAGAAGCAGCACCGGCUAACUCCGUGCCAGCAGCCGCGGUAAUACGGAGGGUGCAAGCGUU